UAUUUAAGUUGUUGCAGUUAAAAAGCUCGUAGUUGGAUUUUGGUUAAGAGGGCGCGGUCGGCCGUUUGGUCUGUACUGCGUUGUCUGGACUUCCUGAUGAGGACGUGCUCUUGGUUAACGCUGAGACAUGGAGUCAUCGUGGUUACUUUGAAAAAAUUAGAGUGUUCAAAGCGGGCUUACGCUUGAAUAUAUUAGCAUGGAAUAACACUAUAGGACUCCUGUCCUAUCUCGUUGGUCUCGGGAUGGGAGUAAUGAUUAAGAGGAACAGUUGGGGGCAUUCGUAUUUCAUUGUCAGAGGUGAAAUUCUUGGAUUUAUGAAAGACGAACUUCUGCGAAAGCAUUUGCCAAGGAUGUUUUCAUUAAUCAAGAACGAAAGUUGGGGGCUCGAAGAUGAUUAGAUACCAUCCUAGUCUCAACCAUAAACGAUGCCGACUAGGGAUUGGUGGAUGUUAAUUGAUGACUUCACCAGCACCUUAUGAGAAAUCAAAGUUUUUGGGUUCCGGGGGGAGUAUGGUCGCAAGGCUGAAACUUAAAGGAAUUGAC
rnacentral:rRNA from 1 species